GGUGGCGCCAUCAGUGUGGGCUGUGCCGUGGCUGGAAGUUACUGUGAGGCGGCGGCUAAGAAGGCGGCUCUGGUGGCGGCGGUGGAGGCUGAGGCGGCGGCCGAGGCGGCGACGGAGGAAACAGAAGAUGCACUGUUGAAAUAUAGUUUUUAUUGCAUUUCUGCCGUUUUACAAAAAUAUGACAAAAUAAAUUAAAAACAAAU
rnacentral:lncRNA from 1 species